CAGUGCCUACGGGACGCAGCAGUCGGGAAUAUUGCACAAUGGAGGAAACUCUGAUGCAGUGACGCCGCGUGCAGGAAGAAGGUUUUCGGAUUGUAAACUGCUUUAGAUAGGGAAGAUAAAAGACUGUACCUAUAGAAUAAGCUCCGGCUAACUACGUGCCAGCAGCCGCGGUAAUACGUAGGGAGCAAGCGUUAUCCGGAUUUACUGGGUGUAAAGGGAGCGUAGACGGUGCAGCAAGUCUGAUGUGAAAGGUCGGGGCCCAACCCCGGGACUGCAUUGGAAACUGUUGAACUGGAGUACAGGAG
rnacentral:rRNA from 1 species